GACCUUAACAUAACCCGCCAUGAAACAAGAAAAAUUAAGACCUUAAAUUGAAUUUCAGGUAUUUUGUUUGCAAUCAACAAAAACGCUGUAAUGGAGAAACAAAACCAGAAAGAUUCCAACUUCAAAGGGUUCAUAAUCUAGAUACAUUAUAUUCAAUUCAACCUGCAAAAAAUUCAUCUCUUUCUCUCUCCUCUAAUUUCCCCCAACUUCAACACAGUAUCAAAUCCCAGAAAACUUCACUUCAUCUAAGAAAAAAUGCAAAUGUUUGCUUGUUUUGGUGAAGAGAGAGAAAGUUGAAAAAGGCAGAAAAAAUGAAUCGAGAAUCAGAAAUUGGGGUUUCGCCAUUUACAGUAUCACAAUGGCAGGAAUUAGAGCAUCAAGCUUUGAUCUACAAGUAUUUAAUUGCUGGACUUCCUGUACCACCGGAUCUAGUUCUUCCUAUUCAAAAUAGCUUCGAUUCAAGUAUUAGUAUGUCGUCUUCUAGAUUCUUCCAUCGACCUUCUUUGGGAUAUUGUAGUAGAGAAAGCUCAUUGUAUGGGAUUGGUAUUGGAUAUGGGUAUGGUGGAAAGAAGGUGGAUCCGGAGCCGGGUAGAUGUAGAAGAACAGAUGGUAAAAAAUGGAGGUGUUCGAAAGAAGCAUACCUGGACUCGAAGUAUUGCGAGCGCCACAUGCACCGUGGCCGCAACCGUUCAAGAAAGCCUGUGGAAUCCCAUUCUCUCUCCUCCUCUUCUUCAUCUUGUUCGUCUUCGUCGUCAUCUUCAUCUUUGCUGCCUGUUGCUGCUGCUGCUGCUCUUACCCUGAAUCAAACUCAGAGCGUUCCUCUUAAAUUUGAUGCUUUUGCUUCAGCUAGUACGACGACUGGGCCCAUUUCUAAUUCUAAUCAUUCCCAAUUUCAAUUGGACUCUAUCCCUUAUGCUAUUCCUACCAAACACUACUCCAGGCACCUCCAGGGAUAUAAACCUGAGUCUGGUGAGAAUAGAUCCAUCUCUCAAUGCUCAGGUGGAAACAAAUCUCUCCUAACGGACUCGGCUUUGGACAAUACAUGGCCCUCAUUGUCAACCCAGAUGUCCUCACUCUCUCAGUCAAAGCCGAAGGAUGGUUCCUCAUUGAAUGAUGAUUAUCGUCGCCACAAUUCUCUUAUCAACUGUGAAUUUGGCCGACCGCAGACUAUGAAACAGAGCAGUCAGUCUCUUCACCCUUUCUUUGAGGAGUGGCCAAAUAACAGGGAGACAUGGUCUAGUAUGGAAGAUGAGAGGGCCAAUCAGGUUUCCUUCUCCACGACACAGCUCUCCAUUUCCGUACCAAUGGCUACAUCGGACUUCUCAACCAGCCCAUUUUCCCGUCAAGGUGAAGUGCUAUUAUUCAUUAAUGAAAGAGAAUUGUUAUCAUCUUCUGAAAAUCUUCUGUAAUUCUUUUUCUUGCAGAUUCUUGAAAUAAGGGAUGCUUUCACUGAGCUAGCACUAAUCCGUAUGAUGUUGUGCUUAAAAGAAGAUGGCAAGCAUCAGGCGUACCGAUUAGUGGAAAUGCUACUGGAGGGGCCUGAAGCUAAGAAUUGAAUAGAAGUUUGUUUUGGUAUUGUCCCUCUUUGGAAGCAACAUCGGAGGGUACAUGCGAAGCAUGAAAUACUAGUAAUUCAACUCUUCGCCUUCACUUGCUCCGGCUGCUAGUUUAUGUUUUUCUUUAUAAGUAGUAGUCUGCAACUGGUCACAUAGAGUAUGAGAUUUUCAGGUCCUCCUUGCUAGCUAUAUUGAUCAGUUAGCAAAUAAUGUUGUGCCUUUGUGACAGACCUUUUCCAUAUUUUGUUCCUGAGUAAUGGUUGAUAUGUUCGUUGUACAACCUGUGUCUCCAAAUAAGUUUACAUCUGACGUUAAACUUUUUAUUGAUUAUGUGUCAAAAAGUUUGUUA